rnacentral:tRNA from 1 species
GCGGGGAUAGCUCAGUUGGGAGAGCGUCAGACUGAAGUACAACUUCAUCAUCAUAUAAUCUGAAGGUCGUGUGUUCAAUCCACACUCACCGCA